UGCAGUCGAGCGGUCCAUGAGGAGGCUUGCUUUCUUGCUGACGAGCGGCGGACGGGUGAGUAAUGUAUGGGGAUCUGCCAUAUGAGGGGGAUGCUACUGGAGCGGUGGCUAAUACCGCAUGACGUCUACUGACCAAAGCAGGGGCUCUUCGGACCUUGCGCUAUCUGAUGAACCCUUAUGGGAUUGGCUAGUGCGCGAGGUAAAGGCUCUCCUAAGCCAGGAUGUCUAGCUGGUCUGAGAGGAUGAUCCUGCACCCUGGGACUGACACCCGGGCCAGACUCCUACGGGAGGCAUCGGUGGGGAAUAUUGCACUAUGAGCCCACGCCUGAUGCUGCCCUGCCACGUGUUUGAAAAAGGCCUUAGGGUUGUAAAGUACUUUCAUCGGGGAGGAAGGUGAUAAAGUAAAUACCUUUAUCAUUUGUGCUUACCCCCACAAGAAUCCCCGGCUAACUCCGUGCCAGCGGACGCGGUGAUACUGAGGGUGCUAGCGUUAAUCGAAAUUAUCGGACGUAAAGCUGACGCGCGCGGUCAAUUAUUUCAUAUGUGACUGCCCCGAGCUUAACUUGGAAAUUGCAUCUGAAACUGGUUGGCUAAAGUCUUGUUCAGGGAGGUAGAAUUCCACGUGUAUGGGUGAACUGCGUAGAGAUGUGGAUGAAGACCGGUGGCGAAGGCAGCCCCCUGGACAAAGACUGACGCAUACGUGCGAAAGCGUGGGGAGCAAACAGGAUUAGAUACCCUGGUAGUUCACGCUGCAGACGAUGUCCAUAUACAAGUUGUGAUCUUGAACCGUGGCUUCUGCAGCUAACUCAUUCUCUCAACCGUCGGGGGGAGAACGGCCGCAACGGUUGAACUCGUAUGAUUUUUCGACGGGAACCGCACGAGACGGUGGACCAUGUUUGUCUAUUUCAAAUACAUCACGAAGAUCCUUACCUACUCUUGACAUCCAGAAGAAUCCUUUAGAGAUAGAGGAGUGCCUUCGGGAACGCUGAGACAGGUGUGGGCAUGGCUGUCGUCAGCUCGUGUUGUGAAAUGUUGGGUUAAGUCCCGCAACGAGCGCAACCCUUAUCCUUUGUUGCCAGCGCGUGAUGGCGGGAACUCAAAGGAGACUGCCGGUGAUAAACCGGAGGAAGGUGGGGAUGACGUCAAGUCAUCAUGGCCCUUACGAGUAGGGCUACACACGUGCUACAAUGGCAGAUACAAAGAGAAGCGACCUCGCGAGAGCAAGCGGAACUCAUAAAGUCUUUCGUAGUCCGGAUUGGAUUCUCCAACUGGACUCCAGGAAGUGGGAUUCGUUGGUAUCGCAAGUUCAGAAUGUUACGGUGAAUACGUUCCCGGGCCUUGUACACACCGCCCGUCACCCCCGAGAGUGGGUUGCACAAGAAGUAGGUAGCUUAACC
rnacentral:rRNA from 1 species